GGAGUGAACGCUGGCGGCAGGCCUAACACAUGCAAGUCGAACGGCAGCACAGAGGAGCUUGCUCCUUGGGUGGCGAGUGGCGGACGGGUGAGGAAUACAUCGGAAUCUGCCUUAUCGUGGGGGAUAACGUAGGGAAACUUACGCUAAUACCGCAUACGACCUACGGGUGAAAGCGGAGGACCUUCGGGCUUCGCGCGAUAAGAUGAGCCGAUGUCGGAUUAGCUAGUUGGCGGGUAAAGCCCACCAAGGCGACGAUCCGUAGCUGGUCUGAGAGGAUGAUCAGCCACACUGGAACUGAGACACGGUCCAGACUCCUACGGGAGGCAGCAGUGGGGAAUAUUGGACAAGUGGGCGCAAGCCUGAUCCAGCCAUGCCGCGUGUGUGAAGAAGGCCUUCGGGUUGUAAAGUCACUUUUGUUGGGAAGUAAAAGCACGUAGGAAUUAAGUACCCUGGUAGUUCUAGACGGUACCAAAGAUAAGCAACCGCUAACUUCGU
rnacentral:rRNA from 1 species